rnacentral:rRNA from 1 species
CCUACGUGAGGCAGCAGUGAGGAAUAUUGGUCAAUGGACGGAAGUCUGAACCAGCCAUGCCGCGUGCAGGAAGACGGCUCUCUGAGUUGUAAACUGCUUUUGUACAAGGGUAAACCUGAAUACGUGUAUUCAGCUGAAAGUACUGUACGACUAAGGAUCGGCUCACUCCGUACCAGCAGCCGCGGUAAUACGGAGGAUCCAAGCGUUAUACGGAUUUAUUGGGUUUAAAGGGUGCGUAGGCGGAGUGAUAAGUUAGAGGUGAAAUAUCCGAGCUUAACUCGGGAACUGCCUAUAAUACUAUUGACCUAGAGAAUAGGUGCGGUAGGCGGAAUGUAUGGUGUAGCGGUGAAAUGCUUAGAGAUCAUACAGAACACCGAUUGCGAAGGCAGCUUACCAAUCUAUAUCUGACGCUGAGGCACGAAAGCGUGGGGAGCAAACAGGAUUAGAUACCCCAGUAGUC